rnacentral:misc_RNA from 1 species
AGGGUCACAGAGUCUGGCGGAGUGGAAACAGCUUGGCCCCGGCAGGAGGCUAGAAGGUGGAUCAAUCUUCCUGUCCUACAACUGACAAAGGAUCCCCUAAAGACCCCUGGAAGGCUGGACCAUGGCACAAGAACUGCCUUCAUCCAUCACCGGGAGCAAGUGUGGAAGAGAUGCAUCAACAUUUGGCGUGAUGUGGGCCUUUUUGGGGUGCUAAAUGAAAUUGCAAACUCAGAAGAAGAGGUGUUUGAGUGGGUGAAGACGGCAUCCGGCUGGGCCCUGGCACUCUGUCGAUGGGCCUCUUCCCUCCAUGGGUCCCUGUUCCCCCAUCUGUCUCUCAGGAGCGAAGAUCUGAUCGCUGAAUUUGCCCAAGUCACAAAUUGGUCCAGCUGCUGCUUGCGUGUCUUUGCAUGGCACCCCCACACCAACAAGUUUGCAGUGGCCCUGCUAGAUGACUCAGUCCGUGUGUAUAAUGCCAGCAGCACCAUAGUCCCCUCCCUGAAGCACCGGCUGCAGCGAAAUGUGGCGUCUCUGGCCUGGAAGCCCCUUAGUGCCUCUGUCUUGGCUGUGGCCUGCCAGAGCUGCAUUCUUAUCUGGACCCUGGACCCUACCUCCUUGUCUACCCGACCCUCUUCUGGCUGUGCCCAAGUGCUGUCUCACCCUGGGCAUACACCUGUUACCAGCUUGGCCUGGGCCCCCAGUGGGGGGCGGCUGCUCUCAGCUUCACCCGUGGAUGCUGCUAUCCGGGUAUGGGAUGUCUCAACAGAGACCUGUGUCCCCCUUCCCUGGUUCCGAGGAGGUGGGGUGACCAACCUGCUCUGGUCCCCAGACGGCAGCAAAAUCCUGGCUACCACUCCUUCAGCUGUCUUUCGAGUCUGGGAGGCCCAGAUGUGGACUUGUGAGAGGUGGCCUACUCUAUCAGGGCGCUGUCAGACUGGCUGCUGGAGCCCAGAUGGCAGCCGACUGCUGUUCACUGUAUUGGGAGAGCCACUGAUUUACUCCCUGUCUUUUCCAGAACGUUGUGGUGAGGGAAAGGGGUGCGUUGGAGGUGCAAAGUCAGCAACGAUUGUGGCAGAUCUGUCUGAGACAACAAUACAGACACCAGAUGGUGAGGAGAGGCUUGGGGGAGAGGCUCACUCCAUGGUCUGGGACCCCAGUGGGGAACGUCUGGCUGUGCUUAUGAAAGGAAAGCCAAGGGUACAGGAUGGUAAACCAGUCAUCCUCCUUUUUCGCACUCGAAACAGCCCUGUGUUUGAGCUCCUUCCCUGUGGCAUUAUCCAGGGGGAGCCAGGAGCCCAGCCCCAGCUCAUCACUUUCCAUCCUUCCUUCAACAAAGGGGCCCUGCUCAGUGUGGGCUGGUCCACAGGCCGAAUUGCCCACAUCCCGCUGUACUUUGUCAAUGCCCAGUUUCCACGUUUUAGCCCAGUGCUUGGGCGGGCCCAGGAACCCCCUGCUGGGGGUGGAGGCUCUAUUCAUGACCUGCCCCUCUUUACUGAGACAUCCCCAACCUCUGCCCCUUGGGACCCUCUCCCAGGGCCACCACCUGUUCUGCCCCACUCCCCACAUUCCCACCUCUAAGAAUAAAUAAGUUUUCCUUUUGUUUUCCACU